GACGUAGGGCGCGAGCGUUUGUCCGGAUUUAUUGGGCGUAAAGAGCUCGUAGGCGGUUUGUCGCGUCGUCCGUGAAAACUCACAGCUUAACUGUGAGCUUGCGGUCGAUACGGGCAGGCUAGAGUUCGGUAGGGGAGACUGGAAUUCCUGGUGUAGCGGUGAAAUGCGCAGAUAUCAGGAGGAACACCGGUGGCGAAGGCGGGUCUCUGGGCCGAUACUGACGCUGAGGAGCGAAAGCGUGGGGAGCGAACAGG
rnacentral:rRNA from 1 species